rnacentral:miRNA from 1 species
ACCAGACUUUUCCUAGUCCCUGAGACCCUAACUUGUGAGGUAUAUUAGUAACAUCACAAGUCAGGCUCUUGGGACCUAGGCGGAGGGGA